GACGAACGCUGGCGGCGUGCUUAACACAUGCAAGUCGAACGGAAAGGCCCUGCUUUUGUGGGGUGCUCGAGUGGCGAACGGGUGAGUAACACGUGAGUAACCUGCCCUUGACUUUGGGAUAACUUCAGGAAACUGGGGCUAAUACCGGAUAGGAGCUCCUGCUGCAUGGUGGGGGUUGGAAAGUUUCGGCAGUUGGGGAUGGACUCGCGGCUUAUCAGCUUGUAGGUGGGGUAGUGGCUUACCAAGGCUUUGACGGGUAGCCGGCCUGAGAGGGUGACCGGCCACAUUGGGACUGAGAUACGGCCCAGACUCCUACGGGAGGCAGCAGUGGGGAAUAUUGCACAAUGGGCGGAAGCCUGAUGCAGCAACGCCGCGUGCGGGAUGACGGCCUUCGGGUUGUAAACCGCUUUCGCCUGUGACGAAGCGUGAGUGACGGUAAUGGGUAAAGAAGCACCGGCUAACUACGUG
rnacentral:rRNA from 1 species